UCGGAGCUCGAACAAAUUCACCGUGAAUUCUCUUCUCACUCUGCAUCAAAAAUGGCGCUAAUCCUCCUCUCUCUCUCUCUCUCUCUCUCUCUCUCUCGAAAGCCCUAAUUCAAUGCGAUUAUUAUACUUGCAGGUCGAGAGAGAACUGCAAAUCGAUUGAAGAUCUUCAAUAUCAGAUCCAUGGAGCAACGGUGCUUAAACUCGAUCCGAAGAUCGCAUCUCAUCAAUUUACGAUCUCUUCUCUCAAGUCCGAAAUUGAUACACUUACGAUGACAAUAUUCAACAAAUUAGCAAGCCACAAAUAAUCAGGAACUCGGGCAAGAUGAUGCUUGAACUCAUCGCCAUCAGAGUUCUCCGCCCACCAACACAUCAUUUGCAAACUCUGUAACAAGAACUUAUUAGACUUGUUUCACACUUUCAAUCUGAAGAGUUUUGAAACCGAUGACGCAUUUGAUUUUGUUUGUGUUCCUCGCCUUUUCGACACAUCCUAUGGUAAUGUAUCUGUUACUCUGCUCCAUAACGCAUGUACUUGACUGUUUUCCGAAUGGCUCUCUCUCUUAUCUUGUUGAGGGGCCAACAGUUCAUGAUCGGCUCACUCAGAUAAUGAAGACUAUCCCAAAGGAGAUCUUGUAUGAAGCAGUCAUGGCGUGCUUUAUUCCAAUUUAUCUCCUCAUAUAGCUUUGGGUGAAUUUCUCGUCUUAAUGACUUGACAAGAUUGGUGAUCAGCCCAUGAUAUUUCCUCCCAUACAGGUAACCAACUAGGUGGUCAGUUCUAACCCAUGACGCCCGGUUUCUUUUGUCAACCUUCGUGUAUCCAGGCACUUACGAAGCCACUUAUUUUUUAAAGUUUAUUAAGAUAAUUGGCUUACUUCUUGACCAUCCUUCCAAGUUUGAAUGUAUAUAACUUCAACAGUUUUGUACAUGCCCGAUUAUAGGGCUGGGUCUGUAUAUGUGUUUGUGUAUAAGUACUGCUAAGGAAUAUUUUUGCACUUUAUCGGCCUAUUAUGGUGCAUGUGAUGUGUGAGAUCCUGGCAUAUUAGAAAUAGCUCAAUGGAGUUUGUUUAGUUUAAUAUUCUUUUAAUAUUUUGCGCUUUCGAUAAGGCCCCAUAUGCUAUAUAUACCAGGUUAUAUGUCUGUUUUUGA